rnacentral:rRNA from 1 species
GAUGAACGCUGGCGGCGUGCCUAAUACAUGCAAGUCGAGCGAACAGAUAAGGAGCUUGCUCCUUUGACGUUAGCGGCGGACGGGUGAGUAACACGUGGGUAACCUACCUAUAAGACUGGAAUAACUCCGGGAAACCGGGGCUAAUGCCGGAUAACAUUUAGAACCGCAUGGUUCUAAAGUGAAAGAUGGUUUUACUAUCACUUAUAGAUGGACCCGCGCCGUAUUAGCUAGUUGGUAAGGUAACGGCUUACCAAGGCAACGAUACGUAGCCGACCUGAGAGGGUGAUCGGCCACACUGGAACUGAGACACGGUCCAGACUCCUACGGGAGGCAGCAGUAGGGAAUCUUCCGCAAUGGGCGAAAGCCUGACGGAGCAACGCCGCGUGAGUGAUGAAGGUCUUCGGAUCGUAAAACGCUGUUAUUAGGGAAGAACAAAUGUGUAAGUAACUGUGCACGUCUUGACGGUACCUAAUCAGAAAGCCACGGCUAACUACGU